CACCACGUCCUCUGCAGCCUCACAGUUGAUUUAAAUCACUCUGGUCAUCUGACAAGCGAGGACAUGCACCUGUGUCCCAUCGUGCAGGGCAGAGUUUCGGAGCUGAGCGGAGCAGGCUGUUCACCCUCGUCAUGGAGAAAUGGCCAGCUUUGCUACACCACACCUCCUGCCAUGCUUCUCUGCCUCACCGCAGCAAUGGUGCCUACAGGCAGAAACUCCUGAGACCAACCCAACUGAAAUAUUUCCACUCAUGUUUAUCCAACGGAUUUUGUUUCAAUAAUGAAAAAUCAAUCCACCUGUAAAUUCCAUAGUCAAUUAAAACCUGGCGUAUACAGACAGACUGCAUUUCCAUUCCUGUAUAAUUUAUGUUCCUGCUGGAGUUCACAUUUUUUUUUACUUUUACUAAAUUAAAUUUAUUUUUAGUCUUUAA